rfam:Thiothrix eikelboomii strain ATCC 49788 genome assembly, contig: EI61DRAFT_scaffold00010.10
GGUUUAGGCUGCUACAAUAGCCGCCUUUUUAGCAACCUAACUUAAUCUGGAGCUUUGGACGAUGUCUCUGAAUGCAGAACAAAAAGCGGCAAUCGUAGCUGAUUAUCGCCAGUCAGAU